GGGGUCGGGGAGGAGUCAUCCUGAGAAUCUCCAGUUUGGACCUGGGACUGGAGGAGGAGCACUUCCUGGGGCUUUUUGAGAGCUGUCACUCGGGAAGCUGAGGCCGGAGGAUCCUAGUGAGUUCCAGGUCUGAAAAGAAGGCUCAUAGAUAAAAUGAUUGAUGUGCAAGCAGCAGGACCUGAUUCCACAUCUUCAGUGCUCACUUUAAAAGGCAGGUGCAGUGACCUGUGCCUACAACCUCAGGAAGGCAGAGGCAGAAAGAUCCUUGCAGCUUGCUGGUCUGGAUGAACGGAUGCGCUCCAGCAUCCUUCCAAAACAAGCUCCCUGUUGAAACCCCUCAUAAAAUGCAGAAUCCCACCUGUCUUGAAUCUGUCUUCAGUGCGCUAAGCUUGGAAGUAAGGAGUUUGGACAAGAUGAUCCUCUAAGGCCCUGCCCAGAAUCCCUCUGCAGGGACCUAGCCAGGGGUUCUCUUGGCUUCAGCUCCCACCAACAUCACUGUUUGUCCAUGAAAACGUUUCGUAUGAUUAGCUGAGUAAUGACCUCUUAAAAUUGCAGAGCUCAUAUAUAAUGUAAUAAAACACAGG